GUCUCUCACACUGAUCGUGUUCUCGUUCUCUCACUCUCACUCUCCUCGUGGCGGUGAAAUGACUCCCGGUCUCGCUCUCUCAUUGGCGUCAACAUUGUCUGUUACUCCCUUGCCCAUCUCACCACUGCAUCGCUACAUGUCCACCGUGCCACCAUGCAAUUUCUCUCGUGAAACUCCCAUCUCUUUCUCUCGCUAGUAACCACUUGUGAUGAUUUAGACUCCUUGCUCAGCUGCUUCACCAAGUUAAAUAAACUCUUCAUCCCUUAAAUAGUGUUACCUUACCCGUAUCCAUCACAGGUAUUUUUCCUUUUGUUGUUUGCAUCGUCAUCACAACAUUCAUUGUUAUUGGUAGUGACCAUCUUCACAGGUACGAAUGUCUUUCAUAAACUUUUGAUGUUCUUUUUUGUUAUGAAUGUUUUUAUAACUUGUUUUAUGUGACUAUUGCUUUAUAUACAAUUAAUGUUCAUCAUGACUGGACCUUAAAUUCUCGUUUGAGAUUCAAUACAUUAAUUCUUCCGGACAGUUUGGAUUAAUCGUUGUAUUGAAUAUUGAAUUAUUAAUUUGGAUAGUUUGGGAAGAGUCAAUUUUUUUAUAGUAGAUUCAUACAUAUAGGUUAACUUUAUUUUCUUAAAUUUGAUAAAAUUUUAGUACAAUGCAUUUGACUUUGUUCACUGGGUGUAUACUUGAUUGUGGUGGAAUUCAUGUCACUGUUUUCAUGUUGUGUACUUGGAGAUAAAAAGAAAAUGCUGUAGAAAUUUUGUCAAAUCUAAGAAAAGAAAGUUAAGCUUUACAUAUGAAUGUACUAUAAAAAAAUAUCUUCCUGAAUUGAAUAGUGCCACACUUUUAAUGAAAAAGGUGAGGUUUUCAUGCAUCCAAUAAACUUUAUUAUCAUAGAGUUAUUAGAUGGAUCAAACUUGAAUGAAUGCAAGUCACAUGAGCUUUGCAUAUGAGGAAGACGUUGAAAAAUUCUUGAAAUUCAUAUUUGAAAGAAGUCAACCGGAUGAGGAUAAUGUUGUAUAUCCUAAGGAUAAUGUUGUCAUCUGGUUUUGUUCUUUGUAUAAUAGGCCCGAUAAUUACUUGAAAGGAAUUAUUAUCAAGUCAAUUGUAUUUUGUAAUACAUUUAUUUUAUCAUUAGUAUUUGACAUCAAUAUUUUAAUUGUAUAAUACGCAUGCAUGUUUCUCUUAAUCAGUGUUUUGAAGGGAUUCAACGAUGAUCAAGGAAGUAAAUCCAAAGUUGUUGCUAGAGGCAUUGUAGUUAAAGUAAAUCAUUUAAACAAUGUUUGAUGCCUUAAAAAUUACAUUUUAUUACUUUGUACAGUAAUUUUCAGAUAACUUUGGAUAUCUGAAUAUCCUAUCCAAUUUAGUGUAAAAAGCAAAAAGAAAGCAUUGAGUACAGAUAUUAUGUGAUGCAUUGGAUAUCAAUAAUAAUCCUAGAAGGUUUCAAGGAUAAUUGAGAUACGACCAUUGGAAUCAGAGACAAUGAAGACAAUUCGCAUUCAGUGGACAAAAUAUUAUCUAAAAGUUAAAAAUGAAACACGAGGUGUUUAGGGGAUUUUACAAUUGUAUAUAGUUAUGUUUAAUUAAAUUUGAUUAUAGUAGAUAAUUUUAUGUAUUGACAUUAUUGUUUUCUUUAACUAUUUCUUAUAAUUGAUACUAAUUAUUCAAUAG